rnacentral:misc_RNA from 1 species
UGAGUGGUGUCGGGCGUAUGGUGUCCGCGGGAUCCCCUGCCCAGUGCAGCCGACCGCGAGCGCCGCGCCUUUUCAAUUUGACUCUCUCGGAGGGCAAGUUGGGACGGUCUGUGCGGAAUAGUCGUUGGGUGGCAAUGUCUUGACCGGAAAGCGAUGUGCGUCGGUUCUCCCCCACCCGCGCUGCGCGGAUGCGGCGGGGAAGCGACCAGUUGCUGCGCUCCGAGCGUCCCACGGGCGGCCUGCGGGCGGCCCGUCGGGGCCUCGGUGCGUCGGCGUGCUAUGCGGGUGCGGUGGAUCGGAUGGCGGCGCCGGGGCGUUUCGCGCCCCGGCGUCUGACGACGCGCGUCCGGCCCUCGAGGCGACGGCGCGGGGCGCUGCGCGGACGCGCUUUGCCCCGCUGUCGCGCGGGCGGCCAGCGCGCGAGAUUCGGGAACGAGCGCCGGCGCUGGGCCAAUCGGCGCAGCUUGCGCCGCGAGGCGCGGGCGGCGUCGCGCGGCCCCGCGCGCGGGCGUCGUGCGGAGGAACGCUACCUGG